CGGGCCUGGGGCUGCGUGGGGCCAGCCGGGCGCCGGCCGUGAAGGCCCCUUCGGGCCCCGGGAUGCCACGGGUCCUGGGUGCCGUGCCCCAAGCGUCUCGGUUCUGAGCACGGCGGCUGGGAGAACCCAGGGGGCCUUCCCAGGGGCGGGGGCUGGCACUGCGGGCGGACGUUCUCUGGACAUGCAAAUGACUCGGGAGAGGCCGUCCCAAACCAGAGCACGGGGACAGCGGAGGCCCACGGAGGGAAGUGGGGCCUUCAGGAAUGCUCAGGGGUGCGAGGGCUGCCUCAAGGCGGGAGCUGAGGGAGCCGGGCUCUGCUGCCCGGAGCACCCUGGACCUGAGGCCCCACGCUCAGACCCAGGCCCCUCCCCAGGGCGACCCAGUGGCUGUGGCCUCUCGUGCCGCCAUUUGAACAGACGAAGACCAAGGGAAAGCCCACCACCAUGUCAGACGAGGAAGUGGACCAGGCAGAGGGUAAGUGUCGAAGCUACUCCUUCUCUCCUCUCGGCCCCUCCGGGGGGCUCUCGUCCCACAGAGGACAGCGUGGCUCUCCUCGGGGAGCCCUGGCUGGAAGCCCCAGCUUUGCCCCGUUUGGUGGGUACCAGUGCAGCGCCCCCUCUGAAAACCGGCCGCCCUUGCCUGCUGCUGUGCCCAAGGCCUGCUCGUUCUCGAAGGUCACAUCAGAACCCUGCCCUGCGAGUCUCCAGCCUGCACUGCGGGUCCGUGGGGGUGGCCUGGCCCCAGAGACCUCUGGGCACCCCGACCACUGUCUGGCACCCUCCCCCACAGGACAGGGGCUCCUGGGGUCUCAGACACCCCCAGAAAGCCAGUGUUGGGGCCCCUUCAGCGGCCUCCUCUGGGCCCGCUCCCUUGCAGGCCAGCCCAGGGGCGGCCGCACUAACACACUCCCACCCUCUCUUCUUUCCCAAGCAGAGCAGUACGAGGAGGAAGGUGAGUGUGCAGCCCCGGAGCCCCCCACCCAGCCUCCCCCUGAACUUGACCCUUCUUGCCCGGUUCCAUCCUCCGGGCCUCAGGCCCCUUGGGGCCUCCCGGAGCUCGACAAUUAACCGUCCACCUUCCUCACCAUUAAUUCCCAUUGGCCGUCAUGGCCAACUUCCCACCUCCUUCACCGAUUCGCAGACAAACGCUCAUUAAUCAUUCAUUAAUCCCUCACCCUCAUCGAGGCCCUGCCAUGUGCACUCAGCCCGGAUCUGGUCAUUAACACUUUCACCCUCAUUAGCAUGGGGGGCCUGGUGGGGCAGGCCCCGCCCGUCUCUCUGCGCCCCCUGCCCCCAGCCCUGUAUCAUCCCGGCCGGCUCCGCCCUCACACCCGCCGGCGUCCGUGGGAACCUCCUGGCCCUGCCCGGGCAGGCGCACCUGGGAACCGUGCCGAGAGGCGGUUCUCAGGCUUGGGCGGGGGGCCCUCCGGAACCCCCUUCACGCACCCUCACCCAGCAGGCUCGCUGUGAGGCCUUCUGGGUGCUGUGCUUUGAAAAUAUUUUGAAAACACUCGGCUCCCCUAACAACGUGAGCAAAACAUUCCUUUUUCUGCUACAAAGGCGGGAAGACUUUGAGCGGGAACGUGGUCCUGGGCAGCCCCGCGUCUGCCCCGGGGAAGGCAGAGCGGCUCUGUGGCUGGCGGGCUGGGUCCCCGGCACUGGGUUCCUCCCAGACACUCACAGGACGUCCAGCACCUUCAGGCAGACCCGGACGCUGCCCGGCCCUUGCCCACUCUCUCCCGGGGCCCAGGUCCUCCCGCGGGGCGUGGAUUGGCCCCCUGUGCCCACGUCUCACACCUGCAAAGUGGGGGUCAGCCAGCCCUCAGGGUCAGCGCCGGUGGCAGGCCCCAGGCAGGGCCCAGGGGAGGUGGCUCGGCAGAGGCAGGGUUGAGACCCCAGUCCCUGAGCCCCGGAGUCCAGCAGCCACACUCCUCGAUCGUGCUGGCCUCCUUUCCCAGCUUCCCCUGCUCGCCCGCUAAUGACCACCCUUGUUUCUCUCUCCCUCACGCCCCUGCCGCCCCGGCUCAGAGGAGGCCCAGGAGGAAGCCCACCAAGCUCAUGAACCAG